GUAUGAGAAGGUCAAUGAUUAAUUUACCUAUUAGUUUGAUUGGCCAACAGAAUGGCCUAAAUACUGAACUGAAUCUGAUCAUCA